ACCAAGGGCUCCCUUGAAACUCACUUACCUGGACGGGGUCGAUGAGAGAUCAAGAAGUCUCAUGGCCUAGAUCAGUGGCCUACAUAGCACCUUGUGGGCGCACUGGUUUACCAUCUCCCUCCGGGAGAGUGGACGUCGUAA
rnacentral:rRNA from 1 species